CUCAAAUUUAGUUCUGCAACUGAAACCAAAACCCUAAGCACUUUUUAACCUAUCAUGCUGCAUUUCUAAAAUAGGAAAGAGUGAGUAAUGGCUCUCCACUGGAGUCCAAAGGACAGCCCAACAAUGGCCAACAUUAUUGUCACCCCUUGGUCAAUGGCCUGGAUAACGACAUAAGAGAUGCUUAUUAACCUGCAGGUGGCACAAAAGAGGAGGCUGGUGAGGCAGGAGGGAGCAGAGUCAGACCAUCCCGACCGGCCGGAUGCCAGUUACACAGAGAAGAAGCCUUCUUAUACCUCUUCAACAUCUCCCAUGAGCGCCCUGCACACAGACAGCACGGGUUUUUGAGAUUUUGGUGCACCCAACACCCAAGCAGUAUACACUGUACCCAAUUUGUAGUCUUUUAUCCCUCACCUGCCUCCUACCCUUUCCCCCGAAUCCCCAAAGUCCAUUGUAUCAUUCUUAUGCCUCUGCAUCCUCAUAGCUUAGCUCCCAGAUGCUGUAUUUUUAAAAAGAAUUCAUUGUUCACCAAUGUUCAUAAGCAGCAUUAUUCACAAUGGACCAAAGGUGGAAGCCACCCAAAUGUUCAUCAAUAAAGAGACAGACAUGGAAAGAAACAGUUCCUCCUCCUCAAUGGGAUGUUCUGGUGUCUCCCUGUGGCACCUGGAACUGCGACAGGCCACCUGAGACCAUGGGGAGCCAGCGGGCAAGCCUGUACUGAGGAUGACAAAGCAGGAGGGCAAAAUGAACUUGGCUCCUUGAUGCCUUUGCCAGGCUGCUCAGUUAACCAGCACUGGACUCACCCUUGCCCCAGACUUUUGUUUUCUGAAAUGAUAAACAUCUGUGUGUUUAAGUCAUUGAGCUGGCUUUUCUGUUUCUUGAAGGUGAAAGCAUUCUAACUGAUGACACAGGCUGACCUAAGAUGUCUGGCACACCAUGAGACUUACGCAGUAAUGAAAGGCAGAGUUUGAUCUCCAUAAUUAACAAACUCACUGAAAGGCAAAACAGACCGUUCUUGUCAUUAAAAUGCAAGAAAGGCUUUAGAGCAGGUAAAGAACAACGUUAAAGUGCAGUAAGCAGAUCCAUACCUUUAGCCAUUCAAUACAUAAACGUGGACCCAGAAGUUAUCCUGAAUGAACCAAUUAUGCCCCACUUCAGAAAUAUUAGAAGAUGAUGACUUAAAAUACUGUCUUUAUGAUCACAACAACCCUAACUAUAUAACUCUAGGUUAUAUUAUUCCCAUUUUAUAGAUGAAGACACUGAAGCAGAGAAGAAGCUGAGUAACUUGCCCAAAUCCACUAUGUCCACAGUUUUCUCUGCCUGGAACUCUUCCUUCUCUUCACUUAGCUAAUUCCCACACAUCCUUCAGGUUUCAACUUAAAUAAACAAUCACUCCUUAGAAAAAAGGCUUCUUUGAUGUGUUCAGACGAGGUCCAGAGCUCCUAUUAUGCUCCACUGCACUCCUGUUCUAUGGCAGCAUUUUGCCCAUUCGAGAUUAAAUAUUUGUCUUCCCACUAGAAUGCCCAUGGCCUGAAACAGUUCCGUCUU